CUACGGGCCGCUGCAGUCGAGGAAAUUUUUCAAUGCCCGCAAGGGUGAACGAGUAAGCCAGAGUGUUUUCUUUACGAAAACUUUUGUCUGUUGUAAAAAGACAGACGAAUAAGGACUGGGCAAGACCGGUGCCAGCCGCCGCGGUAAUCCCGGCGGUCCGAGUCGCAUCCACAAUUAUUGGGUCUAAAACAUCCGUAGCUUGUUUUGUAAGUCUCUUGUGGAAUUUCAUAUCUCAAGUAUGAAGCGUGCAAGAGAUACUACAUUGCUAGAGACCGGAAGACGCAAAGAGUACGACGGAGGUAGCGGUAAAAUGUGUUAAUCUCUGCCGGACUAACAAUGGCGAAGGCACUUUGCGAGUACGGAUCUGACAGUGAGGGAUGAAGGCUAGGGGCGCAAAAGGGAUUAGAUACCCCCGUAGUC
rnacentral:rRNA from 1 species